rnacentral:lncRNA from 1 species
ACAUGGCGGAAAAGGAGGGAAGAGUAAAGAGAGAAAAUUUGCAUGUUAAAAUGUACAAUUAUUCACUCUCCAUACAUGAUACAAAAAGUGUAUAAAGAAUAUUUUCUUAAAUGUUUACAUAACGUUAUAAAACGUCAUAACAACAAACGUUAUAAAAUGUGUAAAAAUACUGUACAAAUAUAAAUAUGCAAUACUUAUAUAAAUACCUUUGUUUCCUUUGUUUCAAAAUGACUUAAUAGUUUGAAGAAUUAAAGGUGGAAGUACAAGGAAUACAGCACCGAAGCUACAAUAGGUCCACAAGCUCGUGCUAAUGCUCCAAGAGAACGAAAAACACCUGUUAUUGCACCUUUUUGAUGAUCAGGACCAAUACGUGUUACAAGCGUCAUCAUACAUGUAACAACCAUGGCAGUUGCUAUAAUGUACGAAAAAGAUAUAAAAUUUUUAUUUAUUUUAAUCAAAUAUGAUAAAUAAUCCAUAGAUAUUUGCUGUAUUUCAUAUACAUAAAUUCAUGUCACAAUAUACUCACAAAUUGCAAACAGAAA